GAUGAAGAACGUAGCGAAAUGCGAUACUUGGUGUGAAUUGCAGAAUCCCGUGAACCAUCGAGUCUUUGAACGCAAGUUGCGCCCGAAGCCAUUAGGCCGAGGGCACGCCUGCCUGGGCGUCACACGUCGUUGCCCCCCCAUCUACUCCUUCGGGAUUGCGGGGGGCGGAUGAUGGCCUCCCGUGCGCCUCGCCGCGCGGUUGGCAUAAAUGCCAAGUCCUCGGCGACGCACGCCACGACAAUCGGUGGUUGCGAAACCUCGGUUGCCCGUCGUGUGCGGUCGUCGCGCAUCGAGGGCUCGAAAAAAUUGCCGGGUUCCGGCUCGGCUUUCAACGCGACCCCAGGUCAGGCGGGGUUAUCCGCUGAAUUUAAGCAUAUCAAUAAGCGGAGGA
rnacentral:misc_RNA from 1 species